UCCUCAGUAGCUCAGUGGUUAGAGCACUCGGCUGUUAACCGAGGGGUCGUUGGUUCAACCCCAACCUGAGGAU
rnacentral:tRNA from 1 species